AACCCACUUCCCAGAACCCAGAACUAGCUGCUCACUGACCCUGGAAUUGGAAGAUGGAGACAUGCCACGGAGCCUCACUGAUGAUCCUGUAUCUUCACCUAGCCUGGGUGAGCUGCCUACAGAAGGUGGAGCAGAGCCCUCAGUCCCUGAAGAUCCAGGAGGGAGAGAGCACCAUAAUCAACUGCAGCUACGCAGAAGCUACUGGCCAAGGGCUGCAGUGGUUCAGGAAGGAUCCAGGGAAAGGCCUCACUUCCCUGUUGUACAUAAAUUCAGAGGAGACACAGAAUGGAAGGUUAAGAUCCACGAUCAGCAGGACGGAGCGUCAGAGUUCCCUGCACAUCACUGGUGCCCAGGCUGAAGACUCAGCCACCUAUCUCUGUGCUGUAAGGGCACAGUGAUCCCCAGGCACCUGCCGGCUGUGCACAAACCCUAAAGCUGAGACACAGACCCUUCCAGAGAGCACAUUAUAACACCCUAAAAGCAUAUCCACAGAGCAUUUUCCUGGUUCUCAUUUGAAUUCCAGCAUGUGAUUCUGGGAUCAGUCACUCACCUAAUUAAUGUCUCCUGCCCUGCCCUGUAUACUCAUUGGUAAUAAAAGGUUAUGGAACAGAACUAGCUCAAAUUGGGUGGUAUC